GAUGAACGCUGGCGGCGUGCCUAAUACAUGCAAGUCGAGCGAAUGGAUUAAGAGCUUGCUCUUAUGAAGUUAGCGGCGGACGGGUGAGUAACACGUGGGUAACCUGCCCAUAAGACUGGGAUAACUCCGGGAAGCCGGGGCUAAUACCGGAUAACAUUUUGAGCCGCAUGGUUCGAAAUUGAAAGGCGGCUUCGGCUGUCACUUAUGGAUGGACCCGCGUCGCAUUAGCUAGUUGGUGAGGUAACGGCUCACCAAGGCAACGAUGCGUAGCCGACCUGAGAGGGUGGUAGGCCACACUGGGACUGAGACACGGCCCAGACUCCUACGGGAGGCAGCAGUAGGGAAUCUUCCGCAAUGGACGAAAGUCUGAUGGAGCAACGCCGCGUGAGUGAUGAAGGCUUUCGGGUCGUAAAACUCUGUUGUUAGGGAAGAACAAGUGCUAGUUGAAUAAGCUGGCACCUUGACGGUACCUAACCAGAAAGCCACGGCUAACUACGUGCCAGCCGCCGCAGUAA
rnacentral:rRNA from 1 species